rnacentral:rRNA from 1 species
GACGAACGCUGGCGGCGUGCUUAACACAUGCAAGUCGAACGGUGAACCGGGCUUCGGCCCGGGGAUCAGUGGCGAACGGGUGCGUAACACGUGGGCAACCUGCCCCAGACACUGGGGAUAACUCCGGGAAACCGGGGCUAAUACCGGAUACUCUCAGCCGACCGCAUGACCGGCUGAGGAAAGCUCCGGCGGUCUGGGAUGGGCCCGCGGCCUAUCAGCUUGUUGGUGGGGUGAUGGCCUACCAAGGCGACGACGGGUAGCAGGCCUGAGAGGGCGACCGGCCACACUGGGACUGAGACACGGCCCAGACUCCUACGGGAGGCAGCAGUGGGGAAUCUUGCGCAAUGGGCGAAAGCCUGACGCAGCGACGCCGCGUGAGGGAUGACGGGCCUUC